CUGGACGUCUGUUACGGUCGCUGCCGCCGUCGCAGUUGCAUGCUGUGUUGUCGUCGGCAUGGUGAUCGGCUUGAUCCUGUAUGGUCUCAGGAGAAGGCAAAGACACAGAAGCAUAUAUCCAACUCUCAAAACAGGGAGAAAAAGUAUGAGGGUGAAGCAAUCAGACAUGUACAAGAUCGCAGCUGGAACUCAGAGCGAGCGUUAGUCUGCUGCUUCCUUUCAAGAAGAGAAGUGCAACUGAGUCCCCCACAUGAAAACAAAACUCCAUUCUUUCAUUUAUUUAUUCCUACUUCGUGAUUUUAGUUGUAAUGUAGUGACACGCCACACUCAGCGACCGAAUGGUUAGCAUGUCUCCCGUUUCAUUUUAGCACUCGGUUCACAGCGUGUUUGCCAAUUUGGAGGGCGGUCUCAAAACGUCCGCGUCACGGCACAGAUGAGCUUCUGCCAUGGCCGGGAUGGAAGUUGGCUGUGGACCACGCCCUCCGCGGCUCAGGCCUCCCUCUCGUAGAUCUGCCGGCUUGUGCUCAUCUGUGAAAUUAGCACGAGCGGGUCAAACCCACCUACAUGCAGUGAUACGCCGCACGAAAUUAGAGCUCUUUGAGUUGUCUCUGUGUUUAUUUCAGUAAUACAGACAGUUGUUUAUUCAUUUUUAAAAUUGCAGAUGAGCAACUAUUUUGAAGGAAUGGGUGUAAUUAUUUGUGCACGCGUAUGUACAAAAAGGUAAAAUAUUUUGACAAUGCGCCACAUUUGCUUUUGUGUACAUAUUGUAUUUGUGUAUAUAUUAAAUGUUUAAUAACUAUUAUUGUACACUGGUUAUCUCAUGCCAAUAAAAUGUAAUCGCAGUA